rnacentral:rRNA from 1 species
UACGUAGGGGGCAAGCGUUGUCCGGAAUUAUUGGGCGUAAAGCGCGCGCAGGCGGUUCUUUAAGUCUGGUGUCUAAGUGCGGGGCUCAACCCCGUGAUGCACUGGAAACUGGGGAACUUGAGUGCAGAAGAGGAGAGCGGAAUUCCACGUGUAGCGGUGAAAUGCGUAGAUAUGUGGAGGAACACCUGUGGCGAAGGCGCCUUGCUGGCCAAUUUCUGACGCUGAGGCGCGAAAGCGUGGGGAGCAAACAGG